AACCCGCUGGGGUCUCCUUCCACAGUGUGGAAGCUUUGUUCUUUCAGUCUUUGCAAUAAAUCUUGCUACUGCUCAAGCUUUGGGUCCACACUGCUUUUAUGAGCUGUAAGACUCACCGCGAAGAUCUGCAGCUUCUCUCCUGAAGCCAGUGAGACCACGAGCCCACCAGGAGGAACGAACCACUCCAGACGUGCUGCCUUAAGAGCUGUAACACUCACAGCGAAGGUCUGCAGCUUCACUCCUGAGCCAGCAAGACCAUGAACCCACCAGAAGGAAGAAACUCCGAACACAUCUGAGCAUCGGAAGGAACAAACUCCAGACGUGCCACCUUAAGAGCUGUAACACUCACCGCCAGGGCCGCGGCUUCGUUCUUGAAGUUCCUGGAGAUGGAGCCCUAGCCGAGGACCAUGCCCUUCCCGUUUCCAUAUCAUGUAAAGGGACCAUGCCUUUCUCUACCCAGCACAGCGACCGAAUUUCUUAGCUCCUUAUGCUCCUGAGCUGUGUGGUAUCUGAUUUCCUCAUUUGCUGGCUGGAGGAUGAAAGCAGAGCCAAGUAAGAAGACCUGGAAGUGCCAAAA